UACGUAGGGGGCAGGCGUUAAUCGGAAUUACUGGGCGUAAAGCGUGCGCAGGCGGCUCCUUAAGUCAGAUGUGAAAGCCCCGGGCUCAACCUGGGAACUGCAUCUGUGACUGCAUCGCUGGAGUGCGGCAGAGGGGGAUGGAAUUCCGCGUGUAGCAGUGAAAUGCGUAGAUAUGCGGAGGAACACCGAUGGCGAAGGCAAUCCCCUGGGCCUGCACUGACGCUCAUGCACGAAAGCGUGGGGAGCAAACAGG
rnacentral:rRNA from 1 species